AGGUGAAGGAAACAUUUUUUUCCCUUUCAUUUACUAGGGCUACUUACUGAAUAUUGUAAAAAUGAAAUACGUUACCAACUUUUGUAAACAAAAAACUAUUGUC